AUUAAGAACUCUUGCGUAUUGAAGGGCAGUGAUAAAAUGAUCCUCUAGAGUAAAUGGAGAGUGACAGCGAUUGCCAUCCAUGAAAACUUAUUGAGCUCUUUGACUUUGUUUGUUUUCAACAUCAUAUGCUUGUUUCUCUCCUGCCUAGAUCCUGGAUGAACGGCUGCCACAACCAUCAGCACAGCAGCAUGUUCCAGUGCUCCAACCGAUCCUAGGAUGCAAAUCAACCUGCUAUCAGCUGGCCAACACUCAACAGGAGCUUGACGAUCUCAAGGAGAAGCUUCUUCCAUCUGAGCCUACUGCCUACACCCUGGACAAGCAGCUACCAAAACACUGAAAGUUCUGCAGAUCCUGGAUGAACGGCUGCCACAACCAUCAGCACAGCAGCAUGUUCCAGUGCUCCAACAGAUCCUAGGAUGCAAAUCAACCUGCUAUCAGCUGGCCAACACUCAACAGGAGCUUGACGAUCUCAAGGAGAAGCUUCUUCCAUCUGAGCCUACUGCCUACACCCUGGACAAGCAGCUACCAAAACACUGAAAGUUCUGCAGAUCCUGGAUGAACGGCUGCCACAACCAUCAGCACAGCAGCAUGUUCCAGUGCUCCAACAGAUCCUAGGAUGCAAAUCAACCUGCUAUCAGCUGGCCAACACUCAACAGGAGCUUGACGAUCUCAAGGAGAAGCUUCUUCCAU